CACCACCAGCAGUGGGCAAAGGGACACCUUGUCGAUGGUGUUGUUCUUAUACCAGGGGCAAAGCAGACAGCAGUCCUUUGUUCAAUCUAGCUUGAUUCUUGGCUUGUUGGCUGAGGCUGUUUUAUGCCUAGGACAAAUAA